UAGGGAAUCUUCCACAAUGGACGAAAGUCUGAUGGAGCAACGCCGCGUGAGUGAAGAAGGGUUUCGGCUCGUAAAACUCUGUUGUUAAAGAAGAACAUAUCUGAGAGUAACUGUUCAGGUAUUGACGGUAUUUAACCACGAAAGCCACGGCUAACUACGUGCCAG
rnacentral:rRNA from 1 species